UACAGAGGGGGCUAGCGUUGUUCGGAAUUACUGGGCGUAAAGCGCGUGUAGGCGGUUAUCCAAGUCGGGUGUGAAGCCUUGAGCUCAACUCAAGAAAUGCACUCGGUACUGGGUGACUAGAGGACCGGAGAGGAUAGUGGAAUUCCAGUGAUAGUGGUGAAAUACGUAGAGAUUGGGAAGAACACCAGUGGCGAAGGCGGCUAG
rnacentral:rRNA from 1 species